UUCGGUCAUGUCACGAUGAGGCACCGGUUCUCGUACGAUCACCGCACGUAAGCAACUUCGAGCCUGAUCAAUACUUAGAUGGGUGACCGCUUGGUAAUACUAGGUGCUGUAA